rnacentral:piRNA from 1 species
CUGGAUAGUUAGCCUCCACAGCACC